rnacentral:rRNA from 1 species
GACAGAGGGUGCAAACGUUGUUCGGAAUUACUGGGCGUAAAGCGCGUGUAGGCUGCUUCGCAAGUCGGAUGUGAAAGCCCCGGGCUCAACCUGGGAAUUGCAUUUGAGACUGCGUAGCUAGGGUGCGGAAGAGGGAAGCGGAAUUUCCGGUGUAGCGGUGAAAUGCGUAGAUAUCGGAAGGAACACCAGUGGCGAAAGCGGCUUCCUGGUCCAGCACCGACGUUCAGGCACGAAAGCGUGGGGAGCAAACAGG